rnacentral:tRNA from 2 species
UUAGGAUGUAAUCAUUAAUUGAUAUUUCGCUUACAAUGAAAAAGUGCUUUAUUUAAGCCGUUCUAAG